rnacentral:ncRNA from 1 species
CCUUCUGGCUUUUGGGGGGCAGUUCUCGGAGAAUUACCCCAGGGAAAACUGGCUGGUGGCGGCUGAGCAUUUAUAGGGUCAUCCGUUUUUCAUCCUUGGAUGUCUGCCCUUCCUGUCAUUCAGAAGAAUUUACCAAGAAGUUGGAUUGUUCUCCCACUCACUGGGAUCAUGAGCUGGGAAUAAGUUGCCAUGAGACGGGUUAGUU